GGUCUGUGAUUCAUCAGUGAAUUGUGUAAGACUGUGAUUGUCACAUGCUUAGAGGUUGGUUAACUCCUCUCUAAUUCUUCAACCAGGGAAAAGCCUCAUCUGCAGCCGGGAAGUGCCUGGCAGGUGGAGAAGGAUGGCAGAGCCAGGACUGGACUUACUGCAGCUUCCAUGUGAUGAAACACACUGCUCAGUCUUAUUCACCAGGAAAACCAGAGGUGUCAGAAACGCGGAAGUCGCCGCCUCUGAGGUGAUACAGGCUACCUCCUGAUGGUUCUGACAGGAUUUUGGGAGAGAGAAAGAGCAGGGGAGGGGCAGAGGGAGAGAGAGAAUCUUAAGCAGACUCCAUGCCCAGCACAGGGCUCGUUCCACCACCCUGAGAUCAUGACUUGAGCUGAAAUCAAGAGUCGCAGGCUUUAACCGACUGAACCACCCAGGUGCCCCACUGGCCCUUCUACGUUCAACAAAUGACAAUGAACUACAAAGAAAACAAGUCGUAUGGAAAUUCAUGUUUACAGAAUUAGGUGUACAACAUAAUGAUUCAAGAAUUCUAUACAUUUCUCAGUGCUUAUCAAGAGAUUUGUCCUUCAGUUGUCCAGUGGCAGACUUUUCCCGGAACAUUUUAUGAAGGCCUAGGAAUACAUAUAUGGCAGUGUCAGUCUCUGCACACGUGCUCACCCUGCUGUGCCCCCUGGAAGCUCCACCCAAGCCCUGAAGCCAGAAAAUGCCAUAGGAUCUAAGAAGACUUGUUUUCCAGGUCUUCGAUUUUUCCAUCCACCUCUUGUGAAUGAAAGAAGGACAGCAGCAUGCUGGAACCCUGUGACUUUCGAAAACAGAACUGAAGGUCCUGACACUGAGUCUGAAAUUCCCUUCCUGUCUUAUGCACCAGAGUCUUGUGGCCAAGCCUGAGAUAUAAAUGAUAAAUGAAUGUGGUUGGUCAUCACUUUUUCCCAUCAUAAGCCUCUGCCCAAGGGCUAUCGUGCUGGAAGGGCAGAGGUGUUGAAAGAAAGAAUGGAGGUGAACUGGCAGAAUACCAUGGAGAGGCUCAAAUGGCAGGCUGGCAUCUGCCAGACACAGAGUGUUCUAAAUGUGUCUUAGUUACAGUGACUCAAGCUCCAUUUAAUUUACAAUGGGGAGACUAAUAAAA